CUGCAGGAGCUAUGAUUGAUGU
rnacentral:siRNA from 1 species